CCUACGGGCGGCAGCAGUAGGGAAUCUUGCUCAAUGGGCGAAAGCCUGAAGCAGCAACGCCGCGUGGAGGAUGAAGGUUUUCGGAUUGUAAACUCCUUUUGUUAGAGAAGAAAAUGACGGUAUCUAACGAAUAAGCAUCGGCUAACUACGUGCCAGCAGCCGCGGUAAUACGGAGGGUCCAAGCGUUAUUCGGAAUCACUGGGCGUAAAGAGCGCGUAGGCGGGAUAGCAAGUCAGAUGUGAAAUCCUGUGGCUUAACCAUAGAACUGCAUUUGAAACUGUUAUUCUAGAGUAUGGGAGAGGUAGGUGGAAUUCUUGGUGUAGGGGUAAAAUCCGUAGAGAUCAAGAGGAAUACUCAUUGCGAAGGCGAGUUGCUAGAACAUUACUGACGCUGAUGCGCGAAAGCGUGGGGAGCAAACAGGAUUAGAUACCCUAGUAGUC
rnacentral:rRNA from 1 species